rnacentral:rRNA from 1 species
AGAGUUUGAUCCUGGCUCAGGAUGAACGCUGGCGGUAUGCCUAACACAUGCAAGUCGAACGAAAGUUUUUAACUUUAGUGGCGAACGGGUGCGUAACACGUGAGAAUCUGCCCUUGGGAGGAGGAUGUUGUUUAUUUUAACAUAACACUCCAUAUGUCGAGAGAUAAAAUAUUUAUUGCCUAAGGAUGAGCUCACGCCUGAUUAGCUAGUUGGUGAGGUAAUAGCUCACCAAGGCCACGAUCAGUAGCUGGUUUGAGAGAAUGAUCAGCCACACUGGGACUGAGACACGGCCCAGACUCCUCUAGGAGGCAGCAGUGAGGAAUCUUCCGCAAUGGGCGAAAGCCUGACGGAGCAAUACCGCGUGAAGGAUGAAGGAUUUUGGUCUGUAAACUUCUUUUUUCAAGAAAGAAAUUUUGACGGUACUUGAAGAAUAAGCAUCGGCUAACUCCGUGCCAGCAGCCGCGGUAAUACGGGGGAUGCAAGCGUUAUCCGGAAUCAUUGGGUGUAAAGCGCCUGUAGGUUGUUUGAUAAGUCUGUUGUUAAAGCCUAGGGCUUAACCCUAGAAAAGCGAUGGAAACUACCAGACUAGAGUAUGGAAGGGGUAGAGGGAAUUUCUAGUGUAGCGGUGAAAUGCGUAGAUACUAGAAAGAACACCAGAGGCGAAAGCGCUCUACUGGGCCAGUACUGACACUCAGAGGCGAAAGCUAGGGUAGCAAAAGGGAUUAGAUACCCCUGUAGUCCUAGCCGUAAACGAUGGAUACUAGAUGUUGUGGGUUACUUACAACAGAUGUUGUAGAUUAACAUGCAGUGACGAAGCUAACGCGUUAAGUAUCCCACCUGGGGAGUACGCUCGCAAGGGUGAAAC